rnacentral:misc_RNA from 1 species
GAGCGGAUCCGUCGUGCCAUUGCGGAAGUUGUACAACGUGGCUUCCGGUCCAAUAGAGAUGGGCGCUGAAUCGCUGGGGCCCUGGAUGUACAGCUUGUGCUUGUCGGUGGAAUUGUCGCUGAAUAACCAUGCGUUAUACCAGACGUCGGCCGUUAUCGCGGUGUUGGCCGUAGUAGAUCCCCCAUUGCGGCUGCCAAUCUGCUUGCCAGUGGAACUGUUGGUGAUGGCUUGCUGGCUUUCGAAGCUUGUAAAGCCGCCCGGCGCCGCCACAUCCGACAUGCCGAAGGACAGGUCAUGGGUGCCCGUGGACU